rnacentral:rRNA from 1 species
UGGGGAAUAUUGCGCAAUGGGGGGAACCCUGACGCAGCCAUGCCGCGUGAAUGAAGAAGGCCUUAGGGUUGUAAAGUUCUUUCGGUAUUGAGGAAGGUUGAUGUGUUAAUAGCACAUCAAAUUGACGUUAAAUACAGAAGAAGCACCGGCUAACUCCGUGCCAGCAGCCGCGGUAAUACGGAGGGUGCGAGCGUUAAUCGGAAUAACUGGGCGUAAAGGGCACGCAGGCGGUUAUUUAAGUGAGGUGUGAAAGCCCCGGGCUUAACCUGGGAAUUGCAUUUCAGACUGGGUAACUAGAGUACUUUAGGGAGGGGUAGAAUUCCACGUGUAGCGGUGAAAUGCGUAGAGAUGUGGAGGAAUACCGAAGGCGAAGGCAGCCCCUUGGGAAUGUACUGACGCUCAUGUGCGAAAGCGUGGGGAGCAAACAGGAUUAGAUACCCUGGUAGUCCACGCUGUAAACGCUGUCGAUUUGGGGGUUGGGGUUUAACUCUGGCGCCCGUAGCCGUGAUAAAUCGACCGCCUGGGGAGUACGGCCGCAAGG